AUUGAACGCUGGCGGCAUGCUUUACACAUGCGAGUCGAACGGUAACAGGUUAAGCUGACGAGUGGCGAACGGGUGAGUAAUGCAUCGGAACGUGCCCGGUCGUGGGGGAUAACGCAGCGAAAGCUGCGCUAAUACCGCAUACGAUCUGAGGAUGAAAGCGGGGGACCGUAAGGCCUCGCGCGAUCGGAGCGGCCGAUGUCAGAUUAGGUAGUUGGUGGGGUAAAGGCUCACCAAGCCAACGAUCUGUAGCUGGUCUGAGAGGAAGACCAGCCACACGGGGACUGAGACACGGCCCAGACUCCUACGGGAGGCAGCAGUGGGGAAUUUUGGACAAUGGGCGAAAGCCUGAUCCAGCAAUGCCGCGUGCAGGAAGAAGGCCUUCGGGUUGUAAACUGCUUUUGUACGGAGCGAAAAGGUCUCCUCUAAUACAGGGGGCUCAUGACGGUACCGUAAGAAUAAGCACCGGCUAACUACGUGCCAGCCGCCGCAGUAA
rnacentral:rRNA from 1 species